rnacentral:rRNA from 1 species
AUGAACGCUGGCGGCGUGGAUAAGGCAUGCAAGUCGAGGGGGUCCAACACUUUGUUUUUAAUGAUUUGAAAAUAAAGUGUUGGAUCACCGGCGAACGAGGUAGUAACACGUAGGAACGAACCUAGAAGUCAGGAAUAAUCCAUCGAAAGAUGGACUAAUACUUGAUAGUCCCGUAAGGGUAAAGAUUUAUCGCUUCUAGAUCGGCCUGCGAAGUAUCAGCUAGUUGGUAAGGUAAUGGCUUACCAAGGCUAUGACGCUUAGAGGAGCUGAGAGGCUGACCCUCACCGAUGGUACUGCGACACGGACCAUACACCUACGGGUGGCUGCAGUCGAGAAUCUUCCACAAUGGACGAAAGUCUGAUGGAGCGACGCCGCGUGACUGAUGAAGUUCUUCGGGAUGUAAAGGUCUUUUAUGAGGGAUGAAGUUUAUUGACAGUACCUCAUGAAUAAGGGGUUGCCAAACUCGU